GCCAUUGUAGCUCAGUCGGUAGAGCGCGUCCAUGGUAAGGACGAGGUCCCCAGUUCAAUCCUGGGCAAUGGCU
rnacentral:tRNA from 2 species